rnacentral:tRNA from 1 species
GUCCCGGUGGCCUAAUGGAUAAGGUAAUGGAUUCCGGUUCCAUUGAUGCGGGUUCGAUUCCUGCCCGGGACGCCA